rnacentral:lncRNA from 1 species
AUUUGCAAUCGAGUUAUUUCCAGUCCUCAGGUUCUUCCUGAGCUUCUUAUCUUUCCUUGAAUAAUCUCAUUGUAUAUUUAAAGCCUCUUGGCAUUCCUUUCCAAAUGGACUGCUGUCUCCAUCUCUCCUAGACCCCUUUUUUCCUGGCACUCCAAUCUUGAAUUGACGGUGUUUUCAAGGACAAGCACGGAGCAGAAUUCCCAACCCGAAAACAGGAAAUUCACCAGGCAAAAUUCAUGACCUCCUGCCUCCUGUGGCUGCAGCCUCCUAUUAUUUUUGCAUUUCUCCGGUGCUAGAAGAACAUCAAGGAACCUUCUUUCUCUUACUUUCACCACUCUGAUCACUGUUCCAGCCGCUCCUUUGGGAUUCCUCCAACUUGCAGCUUCAUCCCAUAUGUUCUUCUCUUUCCUACCCAGCUUCUCUCCUCCUCCCCUCCCUCCUCCUGUUCCUUUUUGCUCUGCCCCUAUUCUCAGACGAUAUGUGUGCAUGUGUCCCUUCGCUUUUGCAGUUCCAUAGGGAAGGGAUCAGAGUUCUCGGUGCCUGAAGAAAGUGUGAGCAGAGUUAGUUUCUAGAUGAUUCCAAACUUAAUAUGAGUCUUAUUUCCUUUUCAAAAAAAAAGUGGAAGUAUAAAUGAAUUAAUGAAGUGAUCAGAAAGAAGUAGAUAUGUCAAGAUACCAACAAAUUAUAUGAAAAAACAAACUGAAGCCUGGAAUCUUGUUAACACCAUGCAGCUCUGCUUUCUGGCUGGGGUGUUUGCCAGCUUGGCUCAGCCAGAGGACACCUUCAGAACUCCAGGGAAUAGCUUUGCCAGCAAAAGUUUAAGCCUCUUGAUCAGCCCUUGGAGAAGAUGGAACAAAGCUGUGUGCUCUUUGAGUUUUGGGAGACAGCUGUCAGUCUCUUUCGAAACAACCCAGGAUGCUAUACUGCUCGAGAGCAGCACUGGGGCGUGA